rnacentral:lncRNA from 1 species
UCUCUUCAUUUUUUCUUUAAUAACAUGAUUUGCAUUUAUACAAAUAAAAAUAUUCAUAUUAGAUGAUGUAACUGUGCGCAUAAAUAAAAUAGUUAGGAUUAAAUAUAAAAGAAGGGUCGUAAGCUUUGAAAAAUAAAAAAUAAGUAAAAAAUAGAUAAAAUCGAACUAAAAGAAUAAAGAGAAGUAUAACCAUUAAUUCUGGUCAUUCGAUUUUAUUUUUCAAUCAUCAAGGUUUGUAUUGAAAUUAAAAUCUCCUCAUUAUUAGGGUUUUUGAGAGAAUAAAAAAGAUAAUAAAUGAAAUAGAAUGGAAAACGAAGGCAAUAAAUGUGUUCAAAAUAAAUUAGUCAUUUAAAAAAUAAAAAAAUUAAGUUAAAAAAUUCAGAA